rnacentral:rRNA from 1 species
AUGAGACCGGCGUACGGGUGCGUAACGCGUAUGCAACCUACCCUUGUCAGGGGGAUAGCCCGAAGAAAUUCGGAUUAACACCGCAUGACACCAUUUGAUAGCAUUAUCGGAUGGUCAAAUAUUUAUAGGACGGGGAUGGGCAUGCGUGCCAUUAGCUGGUUGGUAGGGUAACGGCCUACCAAGGCGACGAUGGCUAGGGGAUCUGAGAGGAUGGCCCCCCACACUGGUACUGAGACACGGACCAGACUCCUACGGGAGGCAGCAGUAAGGAAUAUUGGUCAAUGGAGGCAACUCUGAACCAGCCAUGCCGCGUGCAGGAAGACAGCCCUAUGGGUCGUAAACUGCUUUUGUACGGGAACAAACCUUUCCUCGAGAGGAAAGCUGAGCGUACCGUAAGAAUAAGGAUCGGCUAACUCCGUGCCAGCAGCCGCGGUAAUACGGAGGAUCCGAGCGUUAUCCGGAUUUAUUGGGUUUAAAGGGAGCGUAGGCGGCCCGUUAAGUCAGGGGUGAAAGACGGUGGCUCAACCAUCGCAGUGCCUUUGAUACUGACGGGCUUGAAUGUAGUUGAGGUGGGCGGAAUGUGACAAGUAGCGGUGAAAUGCAUAGAUAUGUCACAGAACACCGAUUGCGAAGGCAGCUCACUAAGCUAUGAUUGACGCUGAGGCUCGAAAGCGUGGGGAUCAAACAGGAUUAGAUACCCUGGUAGUCCACGCCCUAAACGAUGAUAACUCGAUGUUGGCGAUAUACGGCCAGCGUCCAAGCGAAAGCGUUAAGUUAUCCACCUGGGGAGUACGCCCGCAAGGGUGAAACUCAA